AUACCGGAUAGAGCAUUGAUAGCUGGAAUGCACGAUGCUCGAAAGCUGAGGCGCCAAAGGGUAGGUCUGCGGCCGAUUAGGUUGUUGUUGAUGUAAUGGAUCAACAAGCCUCCGAUCGGUAUGGGUUGUGAGAGCAAUAUCCCAGAGAUGGGUUCUGAGAGAAGAACCCAGGUCCUACGGGACGCAUCAGGCGCGAAAACUUUACAAUGUGCGAAAGCACGAUAAGGGAACUCUGAGUGCCUCCAAAGGAGGCUGUUCAGGUGUCUAAAAAGCAUCUGAAGUAAGGGCUGGGCAAGACCGGUGCCAGCCGCCGCGGUAACACCGGCAGCCCAAGUGGUGGCCACUUUUACUGGGUCUAAAGCGUUCGUAGCCGGCCAUGUAAGUUCCUUGGGAAAUUUGACCGCUUAACGGUUAAGCUUCCAGGGAAUACUGCUUGGCUUGGGACCGGGAGAGGUCAGAGGUACCUCAAGGGUAGGGGUGAAAUCCGUUAAUCCUUGGGGGACCGCCAGUAGCGAAGGCGUCUGACCAGACCGGAUCCGACGGUGAGGGACGAAGGCUAGGGUAGCGAACCGGAUUAGAUACCCGGGUAGUCCUAGCUGUAAACGAUGCGGGCUA
rnacentral:rRNA from 1 species